rnacentral:rRNA from 1 species
GAUGAACGCUGGCGGCGUGCCUAAUACAUGCAAGUCGAGCGAACAGACGAGGAUCUUGCUCCUCUGACGUUAGCGGCGGACGGGUGAGUAACACGUGGAUAACCUACCUAUAAGACUGGGAUAACUUCGGGAAACCGGAGCUAAUACCGGAUAAUAUAUUGAACCGCAUGGUUCAAUAGUGAAAGACGGUUUUGCUGUCACUUAUAGAUGGAUCCGCGCCGCAUUAGCUAGUUGGUAAGGUAACGGCUUACCAAGGCAACGAUGCGUAGCCGACCUGAGAGGGUGAUCGGCCACACUGGAACUGAGACACGGUCCAGACUCCUACGGGAGGCAGCAGUAGGGAAUCUUCCGCAAUGGGCGAAAGCCUGACGGAGCAACGCCGCGUGAGUGAUGAAGGUCUUCGGAUCGUAAAACUCUGUUAUUAGGGAAGAACAAAUGUGUAAGUAACUAUGCACGUCUUGACGGUACCUAAUCAGAAAGCCACGGCUAACUACGCG